rnacentral:rRNA from 1 species
AGUGAACGCUGGCGGUAUGCCUAACACAUGCAAGUCGAACGGCAGCACAGUAAGAGCUUGCUCUUACGGGUGGCGAGUGGCGGACGGGUGAGGAAUACAUCGGAAUCUACUUUUUCGUGGGGGAUAACGUAGGGAAACUUACACUAAUACCGCAUACGACCUACGGGUGAAAGCAGGGGAUCUUCGGACCUUGCCCGAUUCAUUUAGCCGAUGUCGGAUUAGCUAGUUGGCGGGGUAAAGGCCCACCAAGGCGACGAUCCGUAGCUGGUCUGAGAGGAUGAUCAGCCACACUGGAACUGAGACACGGUCCAGACUCCUACGGGAGGCAGCAGUGGGGAAUAUUGGACAAUGGGCGCAAGCCUGAUCCAGCCAUACCGCGUGGGUGAAGAAGGCCUUCGGGUUGUAAAGCCCUUUUGUUGGGAAAGAAAAGCAGCAGGUUAAUACCCCGCUGUUCUGACGGUACCCAAAGAAUAAGCACCGGCUAACUUCGUG